rnacentral:lncRNA from 1 species
GCAGCCCUUUAUUGGAAGUUUGGGGGCAACCCCUUUGGAAUAGGGUGAGACCAUGUUAUUCCCUGUUGCUCUUUCUCCCAAAAAUUAAUUCAUCAAAGUGCUCUGAAUCUUCUCCACAUGCUCCCCUGUUCCCAUGUGCUUGUGCUUCCCCCCAUUCUCUCUCCUUUUACCCUUCUUCAACAAAAGCCCAUUUUGAAUCACAACAAAAAAC